CCCUCUUGUAAAAUGGCGCGUAAACGUCCUAUUUUCUCACCCCCUGUCCUCAGUCCCUCACCACUGACGCACUGUGAAGAUCCCAUUUUGUCACCCCGUGUUUUCAGUCCCCCACCAAGGAUGCCAUGUGACAUAGAAGAGGAACCAAAACCUUCAACAUCUAGUGGAAUUACAGCAAGAGAGAGUUCCAGAUACGUGUGGUUUAGACCUCGCUACGUCUUGUCAAGUGAUUCGGAGUAGAUUGGGAUCCGUAAAAACUGAAGACCUAUUUGGGAAGUCACAUUAGGACAUCAUCAUUUCUCUUUGGUUUUUAUUUAAGCCAAUGGCUUUCUUGCAAGCCUGUGGAAGCCUUAGGUAGCGCCUUGCAUCGGGGCUUUUCUUUAUCCCGCUGAUAGAUUUAGCAUUUUAGAUGUUAAGGAUUCUGGCAGGACUGAGGAAGCCUUAGGUAGCGCCGUGCUCCGGGCUUUUCUUCAUCUUUGCGUUUUCCUCUCUACUCCCCCAUGUUUCAGGGUGUGACAGUGGUGCUUCCCUACACAGUGCUCUCCAGUAUAGUAAAUUAUUGUGUCCUGUUCCUUUACUAAUCCACUCCAAGUUUUUAAUCUUUCAGGUUGUAGCUGCUCAUCGCUGGAUCCUUUCGUUGUUGUCCAUGUGGUUCCUGCCUUCUGGAUCUCUUGUCUUUCACACUGCUUGUUGGAUCUCCUCAGCCUGUAAACCUCCACCUUCAACACCACCAGUCAGAUGGAGGAAGAUAAGAGAACCCAGUUGGAAAAAAAAUAGCUUUGAUGAGCUUUAUGCUGAUGGAAGGAGGAUCAGGAAUAGAGCAGAGGACCUGCUGAUCUACUGGCUAUAGUAGAUUUUAUAAAUGCAUCAGUGAGACGAGACAGCAGCACUGGACCAAUCAGGAGAGAGAAGACAGAGGACUGAGGGGACACAGAAAAUCUUGCUGAAAGUCCAUAGAAGAAGAUUCCUGAUGCAACAGGGGGACAGCUGAGGACACAGAAUAAAGAGACAGAUCAUGUGAAGUUGGAUCUCCUCAGCCUGCAAACCUCCACUUUCAACACCACCUGUCAGAUGGAGGUAGAUAAGAGAACCCUGUUGACAAAAAAAUUGACCAACAAUUAAAGAAGAAGGCCUGCUCCAUCUGCUGAUCUACUGGUGUAACAGAUUGUGGAAAAGCAUCUUCAAUAGCACUGGACCAAUCAGCAGAGAAGACACAGAGGACUGAGGAGACACAGAAAAUCCUGCUGGAAAUCCCGAGAUGGAGUUUCCUGGUGCAGCAGGACACAGAAUAAAGAAGGACCAUGUGAAACUCGUGCAGAGUAUGGUCAGAGUUGUCCAUAGCUUUCUUGACUCUUAUGAAGAAUCCUUCUUUGCAUCAUUUCCAGAGGUUCCACAGUCGUUUCCAGAACAGAACCAGAACAAAUCCAGCCUCAUCAGGUUGUUGAGCCUUUUGAGGUUCAUGGCUCUGAUGCUGCUGCACCAACAGAUGAUAGCAGAAGAGACGACGCUCUCAACAGCAGACUUGUAGAUCUGCAGCAUCGUGUUGCAAACCUUGAAGGGUCUUAGCUUCCUGGAGAAGUGCAGUCUGCUCUGUCUCUUUGUAUAGAUGCUUCACUGUUGCGUCUCCAGUCUGUGUUCCAGAUGAACACAGAGGUAUUUAUAUUCCUGAACCACCUCCACAUCUUCUCCCAUGAUGGAAAUAGGGUUUGAUCCAACCCUGUUUCUCCUGGAAUCAACAACCAUCUCCUUUGUAUUGUUUACAGUCAAGAUGAGAUGAUUGUUCCCACACCAGGCCACAAAGCGGUCCACCAGAUCUCUGUACUCGGCCUCUUGUCUUCUUCUGAUACACACAACAGCUGCACAGUCAUCUGAGUAUUUCUGUAGAUGACAGAAGUCGGACUUGUGCUGGAAGUCUGAAGUGUGGAGAGUGAAAAGGAAUGGUGAGAGUACAGAGCCCUGUGGUGUUCCUGUGCUGCUGACCACCUGGUUAGACACACAGUCCUUCAGUCUCACACUGUGGUCUGUUUGUCAGGGUCCACCCAUUUAAACCAUUGGGUUUGCUGUUAAUGCUAACGCCCCCUUGUGGCAGCGGUAAAACAUUACAACUAGACAGCUUUAAAUAAGUGGUAACAUUUAUUUGAACACAUUGAAACGAUGAAGGAAUCAGGGUCAGUCUUUAAUUUAUGAUCAUCAGCAGCACUGACAGAUGUGGCUUGUUACACUUGUUAUAAAUAAAAUUAAACUUCUCAGACAUCUUUGAGUCUUCCCAGCUUGGAGAAGCUAACUUUACAGAAAGCUAGGAGUGUUUUUCUGGAAAGUUAGCAUCUGAUUCAGAAUCCUCUGACUUGUCUUCACUGGAUUAAGCUGCACUGAAAAUGCACUGCUUAAAACUCAUUUUUUGCAGCUUUUUUGUCUGCAAAUAUUAAAAUAUGCACUUUAUUCAUCUAAAUCAGCUCCAGUUUAGAAUGCAGAUAUGAGAGUCAGGGUUUCCCCCAGUGUAUUAUAAGCCUGGUGGGCCACCAGGCUUUACUUGUGCCCCCACCAGGCUAAGCAUC